GGCGCGCGUGCGCAGAGCGGCUCCGGGCUCGCGCGGAGGCCUGGGGCGCGCGGGCGCGGGGCGGCGGGCGCGCGCACCUCUCUCCGCCCCUACCUGGCCGUGACGCCGGCACAAUGGCGGCUUCCGUGCCCCCGCCGCGGCCCGUCACCCACCUGCUCUUUGACAUGGACGGUCUCCUUCUUGAUACCGAACGGCUGUAUUCGGUGGUGUUCCAAGAAAUAUGUGAUCGCUACGGAAAGAAAUACAGUUGGGACGUCAAGUCCCUUGUUAUGGGGAAGAAGGCAUCAGAGGCGGCACAGAUCAUAAUAGACGUCCUGCAGCUCCCGAUGACCAAAGAGGAGCUGCUGGAGGAAAGCCAGACGAAGUUGAAAGAGGUGUUCUCCACGGCCGCCCUGAUGCCAGGGGUGGAGAGACUGAUUCGCCAUCUGCGCCGGCACGGCGUGCCCCUGGCCGUGGCCACCAGCUCCAGCCGCGCAUCGUUUGACCUGAAGACCGGCAGACACCAGGCCUUCUUCGGCUUGUUUGACCACAUCGUGUUGGGGGAUGACCCCGAAGUGAGCAACGGGAAGCCACAUCCCGACAUAUUUCUAGUCUGUGCCAAGAGGUUUUCCCCUGCUCCGCCCACCCACCAGAAAGAACUUUGCAUGGUGUUGCCCCCUGAAGAUGGAAUUCAGCAUCAAAACCAGCUUGGUCUCCCUCAAAGAAACCAUUGACGUGCAAAAGACCUCUAGGAUGUAGCCUUUCAUCAUAUACUAGGGCUGCAGUGCACUCUGCAGAAUUGGACUUGAAAAAUGAAGAAGGUAGAUGGAGGUUAUAGUAAAUUUCUGUCGCACUAAAAGUUUCCUGAUCCCACGGCCGUGGGGUUUGUUGGAAUGUUGCAUGUCCUUGAAGCACUGUUCACCAGGCUUGUGGGGCUGGAACACAUGGAGAACUCAUUUUGCUACGACAGGAGGUUGCCAGGCCCUAGAACCCAAACAGGCGUCCAGAAGUACUUUGACAUCUUUCUCCCACAUCCAUGGUCACCAUAUUGCAAAAUGGUGGUCCCACAUUCAUAUUCUCAUCCUGGAUCCCAUGAUGUUUUCAUCAUGCUGACGUUCUUUGCCAUGCUGCAGCUUUUCAUGGUCUGGGACGAUGAGGGCCUCAGCAUUGUAGCAUCAGUUAGUAGAGACUCUUUCUCCCUGCCUUUGGUUUAUCAAAUGACUGACUCAGGAGCAGCGGCACAUGGACCCCCAAGCAAAGGUCUCAGGUGGCAGUCCCUGGAAUGUUCUUGUUUCGAUGGUCCUGAGAGUUUGCAGUUAGGUUUAUAUACCUUGCCUUAAUGACUGAAGUGUCCAAAAUCAUAAAUUCAAACUGUAAUGGAAGAAAAUAAUAAUUUAUCUCAUGACUGCAGUAAACAUAGUCCGAUGUCUCAGAUUUAUCCCCCUGAUUAUUCUUUAAACCAGAAAAGAUAUGUAUCAACAUAGAAAUGGUCUUUUUUAUGGGGAGCCAAUUCCAUGACUGUAUGUACCAUUGAUUCUUGGUCACUGAUGCCACUUUCCUAUUCGUGGGACAAGGAUGUUUUCCACAAAGCUCUCCCCUAUAAGAUAAUGGCAGCUGAUGCCUGAGCAUCUGCAUCUGGAAGUCUUGAUAUGAAAGUUUCUACCCCUCUUAGAUGAGAGGUGGCCUGUGGUCCCCACAAUGGGAUCCAGUUCUUUCUGCCCAUUCAGGGAGUGACUUGGAGAACAGAAAGCUGGUUUGCUGAAGAACCACUCAGUAGAGAGCUGACUGUAAAGCUGAUGCCCAGAGGGACCCUGCAAGAUGUGGGCUGAAGACAACAGAAGCAUGACAGCUUGGAUCCCCGAAUGACUGUGUGGACCAGAGACUUCCACUGCCCCAUGGCACAAGCCCUACACUGUGCAUGAGAGUGACCACGUCUGAGCCACCACGUUGGGUCCAUUUGUAGCUGCAGCUUACCUACUCUAAAGCACCACCUCUGGUAGCCAGGAUUCUGACUACGUGUUGGUUGAUGCUCAAACAGAUUUUUGAGCCACCAUCGAAUCAUUUCUGAGGUCCGUCUACCGAGAUCAAGUCCCAUAAAGCAGGUAAGCCACGUGAAAUUUGACCAGCGCCAUACUGACAGGCUAUUGUUAUAUAAUCUUCCGGUGUGAAUCAACCUGGGCGUGAGGUGGGGAGAGAAUGUUCAAGACAGAAACGGAGAACCUGCUGGAAAUGUAUUCCCUCACAGUGCAGAAGAGGAAGUUGAGAAAAAAACAUAGGCUUCGAAAGGAAUAAUAACAACGAUCUUUUUUACCUGGUAUGAUUUAGGAGGUGCUGGGAGUGUUUUAUAAGAUCCUAAGGAGCAAGUCUCAGGGAUUAGGUGGGUGUAUUGAAUGUGGGCUACAGAUAAGAGGCAGUAAAGGUGGCCCAGAUGAGCGUGUGAGCAACACCCAACUUUUAGAAAGCGCUAGAUGCUUUAAUCUGGCCUUCAGAAGAGUGCAGUGUCCACUCCCAUCUUACAUGGCAGUCUGCAAAUGCAAAGGCUCAGGGUAUCAGAGAACAUUUGGAAUAUCUGAAAUCUGCCCUAAGACUUUUGUCCAGAGAAGGGUGGGUGCUAUUGCAAAGAAUCUACACACGGUAAUAGAAAUGAUUCACCCAGAUGGUGUCUUUUUCUUUAGUUCUUCCCCUCUCUGUUUUGUUUUUUCUUUGGAGACACUGCUGGGAAUUUCACCCAGACAAGCUGUGAUCUAUAGAAGACCAGUCCCUAUCUUAUUUAGUACGUUAGUCUUCUUGAAGUGCAACUCAUGGUCUUAAACAAAUACCUUGCGUGUUUCUAUGCUUAAUGUCUGUUUCUGCUUCAAGAUUUUAAACUCUAAGAGCUGGGCGUUGAGUCUCUCUAUCUCCCUAUUGCUAUGUGCCUGGGGUCGAGCCUUUUUGGUUGGGCACGUAGUAGAUGAUUGAUGAACGGGUAUUGAAGAAGUGAAUGAAAAGUUAAAUGGCAUUGAGUUGACUGUUAUAUGAGCCAAGAAGAGACAAUACCAUAAACGGUAUGGUGUCUUAGGGAGAGAGCAGUGACCUGAGUAUUCAUGAAGGUUGUUGGAUCUUGGUUCAGACCUUAAAUGGUGGAUGAGAUUUACAGACAAAGACCCUGAAUGUCACCAGAUGAACGUGAACAAGGUGUAUUGUGAUUACAUCAUGGAGAAUCUGUUCUGAAGUAGAAGGGAAAGAGUCUCAGCCCGUUGAAAGAGAGACAGAGAUGGUGGUAAGAUACCAGAGCCCUACAAGUGCUUUGCCAUAGGACCGACAUCCAUUUAUAACUGAUGCUGGUCAGUUUGUCCUUACAUACGUGAUAUAUCCCUUAUAAAGUUAUUAGGAGUUUUUAUUUGGUGGGGGGGCAGGGAAAGUUGUGAUGGAAAUAUAUCAUGAGUGAAGAGUUUGACAUGUUGCCAAUUUCUUGCUUCAAGUUAAGACAGCAACACAAGUUACAGGGCACCUGGGUGGCUCAGUUGGUUGAGCAUCCAACUGUUGGUUUCAGCUCAGGUCAUGGUCUCAUGGUUUGUGGGAUCAAGUCCUGCAUCGAGCUCUGUGCUGAGAGCAGGGAGCCUGCUUGGGAUUCUCUCUCUCUCCCUAUCUCUCUGCCCCUCCCAUGCUCAUGCUUGCUCACGGUCUCUCUCUCUCUCUCUCUCUCUCUCUC